UCGCCAGCAUCUAAGUCCAAAUUUGUUGCCU
rnacentral:piRNA from 1 species